rnacentral:tRNA from 1 species
CACUAUGAAGCUAGUAGCGCUAACCUUUUAAGUUAGAGACAGGGACCAGACAACCCCCAUAGUGA